rnacentral:lncRNA from 1 species
GUUGUUUUCUUUCUCGAAAGAGUUCGAAAACUUUUAUAGCAUACAUGUUUUAAGCAGUAUAUAUAUAUAGUGUGUGAUUUAAAACACUAUGUCACAUGUAUCUUUAUGGACAUAGAGAUGUUGAAUUUGUAGAUUUGUCUAGUCAUUAUACAAUAUGACACUAUAGUGCAUAAAUGCAAUACCUGGAAGGCUAUUUGUACUGUAAGCUUGGUGUAAUUGUUAAAGCUUGGUCUGUUUUGUGUUAGGGCUAUAAAAUUUCAUCCUUUAUCUUUUCUUUUUUUAUCCACAAACUCAAGUAUUUCAAGUUCUAAGUGGAAGCAUAAACAUAUAUACGUACCUAGUAAUUGAUAUUUUCAAUGCAAUAAUAGCAUUAGGUUUGUCUUGCAGUGAAAGAGUCUAUUAAAGAAUUGAGGGAGAAGGCUGCAUUGAAAAUGUCAAAAAUUGCAAAAUCACAACUGGGGCUGACCCAGUUUCCCUACAAGAGGGCAGAGAAGGGGGAAGUUCCCCCUUGCCUUGCCUCCAACCUCUCCAGCCACCAGCAAAACUGGCGACCAAACAGCUACAAGAGCUGCUUAUGAGUGAUUUGUCAGUCGCCAGGUUCAGUGGAUCUGCCCAAGGCUAAAAGAAUCAGAGUCACUUGGGAUGCCAAUUCGAUGAAGGCAUUGGAAGACAGUCUUGGACCUCUUGAGGCCCUCACAAGCAUCCCAAGUAGCGAAGAUUUAAAAGCCAUUCGCCAGAGCAAACCUGCUUUAGAAAAAUUUGAUGUCAUUCAAAUAUACAAAAAAAUUGCAUAAAAUAAAAUCAAAGAAAAAAUGAAUAUCUAGUUUUGUCAUGAUUACCUUUGUUUGUUCGUUUAUCUUGUAGGGGACAAUGUGUAAAUGAGCAGUUAAAAAAAAACAACUAUGUUUGUGUUAUAUUAUAAGUUAUCAGUGUCCUACACUUUUGUGUGUGGAAUAAAUGCAUGCAUAGAAUGUGAUGCUCGUAUCUGUGACAAAAUCAAUCGUUAGUCAAAAGGAAACAAAGUAUAUAACAUCAAAGGCGAAAAAGGGAGAGGGAUGCGAAAGUGUAUUACUGGCACUAAAAAUUCUUGGUUUAAAAAAAUUCUU